rnacentral:rRNA from 1 species
UACGUAGGGUGCGAGCGUUAAUCGGAAUUACUGGGCGUAAAGCGUGCGCAGGCGGUUUUGUAAGCCAGAUGUGAAAUCCCCGGGCUUAACCUGGGAAUGGCAUUUGGGACUGCAAGGCUCGAGUGCGGCAGAGGGGAUGGAAUUCCUGGUGUAGCAGUGAAAUGCGUAGAUAUCAGGAGGAACACCGAUGGCGAAGGCAGGUCUCUGGGCUGACACUGACGCUCAUGCACGAAAGCGUGGGGAGCAAACAGG